GUCCACGCCGUAAACGAUGAUAACUAGCUGUCCGGGCUCAUAGAGCUUGGGUGGCGCAGCUAACGCAUUAAGUUAUCCGCCUGGGGAGUACGGUCGCAAGAUUAAAACUCAAAGGAAUUGACGGGGGCCUGCACAAGCGGUGGAGCAUGUGGUUUAAUUCGAAGCAACGCGCAGAACCUUACCAGCCUUUGACAUCCUAGGACGGCUUCUGGAGACAGAUUCCUUCCCUUCGGGGACCUAGUGACAGGUGCUGCAUGGCU
rnacentral:rRNA from 1 species